UACGUAGGGGGCAAGCGUUGUCCGGAAUCAUUGGGCGUAAAGCGCGUGUAGGCGGAUCUUUAAGUCAGGGGUGAAAUCCCAAGGCUCAACCUUGGAACUGCCUUUGAUACUGGGGAUCUCGAGUCCGGAAGAGGUGAGUGGAACUGCGAGUGUAGAGGUGAAAUUCGUAGAUAUUCGCAAGAACACCAGUGGCGAAGGCGGCUCACUGGUCCGGUACUGACGCUGAGGUGCGAAAGCGUGGGGAGCAAACAGG
rnacentral:rRNA from 1 species